ACGCUAGCUACAGGCUUAACACAUGCAAGUCGAGGGGAAACGGCAUUGAGUGCUUGCACUCUUUGGACGUCGACCGGCGCACGGGUGAGUAACGCGUAUCCAACCUUCCCAUUACUGUGGGAUAACCUGCCGAAAGGCAGACUAAUACCGCAUAGUCUUCGAUGACGGCAUCAGAUUUGAAGUAAAGAUUUAUCGGUAAUGGAUGGGGAUGCGUCUGAUUAGCUUGUUGGCGGGGUAACGGCCCACCAAGGCAACGAUCAGUAGGGGUUCUGAGAGGAAGGUCCCCCACAUUGGAACUGAGACACGGUCCAAACUCCUACGGGAGGCAGCAGUGAGGAAUAUUGGUCAAUGGACGGAAGUCUGAACCAGCCAAGUAGCGUGCAGGAUGACGGCCCUAUGGGUUGUAAACUGCUUUUGUAUGGGGAUAAAGUUAGGGACGUGUCCCUAUUUGCAGGUACCAUACGAAUAAGGACCGGCUAAUUCCGUGCCAGCAGCCGCGGUAAUACGGAAGGUCCAGGCGUUAUCCGGAUUUAUUGGGUUUAAAGGGAGCGUAGGCUGGAGAUUAAGUGUGUUGUGAAAUGUAGACGCUCAACGUCUGAAUUGCAGCGCAUACUGGUUUCCUUGAGUACGCACAACGUUGGCGGAAUUCGUCGUGUAGCGGUGAAAUGCUUAGAUAUGACGAAGAACUCCGAUUGCGAAGGCAGCUGACGGGAGCGCAACUGACGCUUAAGCUCGAAGGUGCGGGUAUCAAACAGGAUUAGAUACCCUGGUAGUCCGCACAGUAAACGAUGGAUGCCCGCUGUUGGUACCUGGUAUCAGCGGCUAAGCGAAAGCAUUAAGCAUCCCACCUGGGGAGUACGCCGGCAACGGUGAAACUCAAAGGAAUUGACGGGGG
rnacentral:rRNA from 1 species